rnacentral:lncRNA from 1 species
GAAUUCAAUGAAGAAAAACAAACCUAUUAAAAAUUGAGCAAAGGACUUGAAUAGAUAGUUCUUGAAAGAAAAUAUCAGAAUGACUAACAAGUACAUGAAAAGAUGCUCAACAUUAUUGGUAAGGAAAUAAAAACAAAACCCACAAUAAGAUGUGAUUUCCUACCCACUAACUCAAAGAAAACACUCAAGGGUCAAGUGCUGGUGAGGAUGUGGAGAAAUUGGAGCCCCUGUAGACGCUAAUGAUUUGAAACAUGCUGCAGCCACCCAGCAAAAGCUUGGUGGCUCCUGAGAAAGUUAAAUGUACAGUUGAUGAUUCCACAGUAUCAUCCCAAAGAAUUAAAAGCAGGUGUUCAAACAAAUACUAGCAAUGUUUAUACCAGCACUAUUUACAAUAGCUCAGGGGUGGAGGCAACUCCAGUGCCUAUCACCCGGUAAGUGGAUAAAUAUGUGGAAUAUCCGCUUGGUGGAACCUGGCUUAAAAUAAAAAAAUAAGGAGAUGCUAACAACCUCUACAACUUAGAACCUCAAACGUGUAAGGGAAGGAAGUCAGUCCCAAAGAUCAAACAGCAUAUGACUCCAUUCAGCAAAGUGUCCAGAAGAGGUCAAUGCAGAGAUACAGAACUAGCUCAGUGGUUACUCAAAGCUGGCGGGACACCCCCAAGGACCACUGCUGAGUGAGUGUGGUCUCUGGUCGGUGGUGAGGAAAGGUUUUAGAACUAGACAGGAGUGAUGGCUGCACAACAUUGUAGACAUAAUGCCACCAGA